GUGAAUCAUCGAAUCUUUGAACGCACCUUGCGCCUUUUGGUAUUCCGAAAGGCACACCUGUUUGAGUGUCAUGAAACCCUCAACCUCGGUAUUUCGUAACUGGAAUAUCGAAGGCUUGGAUGUUGAGCGCUGCUGUUCAUGACAGCUCGCUUUAAAUAUAUGAGCGAUCUCUUUACUACUCGGAUUGACUCGGCGUGAUAACAAUUUUCGUCGAGGACGCUUUCACGAGCGGCCGAACAGUGUAAGCGUAGCUUCUAAACUGCCUUAGUGCACUUUGUCCUUUAGACCUCAAAUCAGGUGGGACUACCCGCUGAACUUAAGCAUAUCAAUAAGCGGAGGA
rnacentral:misc_RNA from 1 species